GGGACGCGCUCGAGUCUCGACGUGCAGGCCAUGGUGAGCCCCGCGCCCGUCCGCUUUCUCCUCCACCCCCAUUCCCUCGUCUCCAACCAUAGAUCUUUUCCCCCUCCCCUACAGUCACCUUCGCCUCCCCCAUCUCGUCCGCCCCAGGAUCCAAGGUGUACGGGUGUGGAGGCGAGCUUCCCGGCGACAGCGACGGCGACGACGACGGUGCUGGAUUCGAUCUGCAGGAGAGAGAGAAGAUGAGAGGGAGAAGAAGGAGGAGAGGAGGGUGAAAGAGAGGGAAGAGGAGAGGGAGGUGUGGUUUCGAAUGGGAUAGGCCUGCGCCGGCGAGGUCGGGCGCGACCUGGCGAUUGGUGGCGGCUCAAUUCGCUCCUGGAUCGGGACCUAUGAGGAGGCCGGGGCCUGGGCGUGAGGCACAUAGGUUGCGCUCUGCUUCUUCCUCGAUCAACAAGAGGAGUAUGUGCAGUGCGGUGGUGUGGCGGACGGCCGCUCGUGCAGUGGCCUCAGUGGGUCGGCGACGGCACCUGCAGAGCUCGCACCGCCCUGGCGCCGAUCCAGCGCGGCUCCUGCACGUCGCCACCCCCUCCUCCCCAUCUCAGCGGGAGGUGAAUUUGUGCCGCUGCUGCCUCUUCCGCCAAGCAGGAGGAGCACGAGAUCAGGGAUGAUGUUAAAAUAUUUUGCUAGGUCUGCCAUCAACUUUCUGUUCAAGUGUAACAAUCAUUCUUGCAUCAAGGGAUGAGAAGAAUGUUUACAGGGUGCAAAUGCUUCAGAAAAUCUAUGCUGCUUACUGGAAAUCUGGAAUCAUGUUGCUCAAGUGUCAGGAUUAUGUACUAGACAUGAUGAAAUAAGAUGAGGUGUGAAUUUUUUAGCCAUGCUUUUUUAGCUCAUGAAGGCAGAAGUUUAUGGAAUUUUUCAGUACCACCUUCCUGCGGCUCUGAGGAUUUUGUCUGCUGGCUGCCUCUCCGAAUGGAGUAUGAAAUGAUUUAGUAAUCACUUGUAUGCAAAAAGAGGUGCACAGUUUGGUGUUGUGAGAAUUGAACUGGAACGGAAUUUUUAUGCCUAUGUAUUUUUCCUGUCGAGGUAUCUCCAAUCGUAUGCAGAUCCACAGUGGAUCAAGCGGAAUUGGCACAUUUGCUAUACAGAUUGCGAAGUGCCUUGGAAUCAAGGUUUUGUCACUGCAGGCUUAUUGGUUCAGAUAGAUACAGUAUAUAUGGUACAAAGAUGUUUUCCGAAAGCAACUCUGUUAUGCUGCUCUAGAAAGCCAAAGAGAAACUAGCCGCUUGGUACGUUUAAGGUGUGGAUAUAUGCAGAAACUACAAAACCUUUGUAGCACAUAUCGAAGAAGAAACUAAUGGAAAUGGUAUUAUCCUGCCAUCCUCUUGUGACGCUUGAUGCCCUGAUGCAGAGACGUUGAUGUCAUUCUGGACAACGUGGGCAGAUCUUAUCUUUAAGGCAAUCUGGAUAGCUUAGCAGUUGAUGGUAGACUUUUCAUCGUUGGUCUCAUGGGAGGCACUGUAACUGAAGUGAACCUGCAUGCGAUGCUUACCCGAAGACUGACUGUAUAAGAUUGUAUCGAUCUAUCUUUAUACAACCAUGCCUCUUUCAGUUUUAUGUGUUUUUUUCCUGAUAACACAUCUUACUCUAUGAACACAAUGCUCAUAGGACUGUUGAUGCUUUUCUGUUGUUAGAAUUUCAUUCUUUGUUUUUUGGCAACUGAUUAUGCAGUGCUAUGAUGUAGCUUUGUGUCUUCUAAAUUAUUUUUUACUCUCAAAUAAUUUAUUAGACAAUGGAAGAGCUAAAUGCAUACUUUUGUGUAGACUUACCUCCAUUUACCUGAUUUCACGUGCAUGAUUUGCUGUCGCCCUUCGCGCCAUCGGCGCAACGGGUGGUUAGCUGCUUUUUUAUGUGUGAGAAUAUCAGGAAUGUUUCUAUAUGUGCCCAGAUUUAUUUGGUUCACUUUCACUGCUCUUUGUUGAAUUAACUGAGAAAUUCUUGAUUCUUUUUAUGUUAUUUCUUUACACGAAGGAUCCAGAUUAAAAUCUAAUGUGUUAUUCUUGCUGGCUUAGUCUAAACAAAUGCAUUUUAGAUCACCUACUUCUCAGUUCAUGAUUUUUGAUUCAGUGUAUUGCGGUUGAUUACCGGAACACACUCACCCAAAGUGUCGAUCUGUAUCCGUACAUAAUUUACUAAAUUAAAUUUUUUGAGUUGUUUCUAUAAAUGUAAGUUGACUAUUUUGUUUCCAUAUAAAAAAAAGGUAUUUUGUAAAGAACAUAAGUAUAACUAUGGGCCUAUGGCUCAUGUUGCUGAAUAUAGUUGAGAGAAAAUGAACAUAUUGUUAAUUCUUUCCAAUUUGUUAUUGCAAUUCACACAUAGUUCAAUUUCUUAGUCCUCGUGCAUUUUCACAGUUAGUGUCUUCUAGAACUUAGUACAAAACUUGAAUAUUUUAAGUAAUCAAAGUGAAAUUGGUAAUUAGCAUCUGCUGAGAGCACUGAACUAAAUCAUGUUCACGAAACUUAUUAUUUUUUCUAACUUCUACAGGCGGCCGUGUUCUCAGCUCUUUAUUCGGAUCUUUGUAGAUGGGUGAGCAUGUUUGCUUGCUGCCUUGCAGGUGUUGGAGACCUGUGGUUGCUCUUUUUAUUGAAACGAAGGGAAAUAUACGAGUAUCACGUGCGGAUGUGCCAUGCAUUUCCUACUUCACCUUGGCUAGCAGAGUUAACUGGCCAUGCAGAAAUUGUUGUGAGGGCGGAGCUUCAUGGUUGAUUCUUAAAUGGGCAUAAUCCAAGUAAGUAUUAGGUGUGAAGAAAGUUGGAGAUGUUGAAGGAUGCAAAGAAUCCUUCCCCAAUCAUUGUGUUUUAAGCAGCUCAUCGGGAUUAAGGGUACCACCAGUUUGAACCCUGACAAAUUCACCAUGCAAAUUAAUAGGAAGACACAUAUAGCCAGCAGUGUACAUGUUCCUGCAUGCAGAUACAGACUGUAGGUUGUGCAUUUGUUGAUUUGUUUGAUCCUGUUGGGUUGCUUAUAUUGCUCACCACGUCAUUACCAGGUCUAAGAACACUAGGAUGCACUUCUGUCAAGUGGCAAUUAGCAAUCAACCUUUCCUGAAGAAUUGUGCUUCUAUUCCUAUCCAAUGCUUCUUUGAGAGAAGCAGCAUAGCCAGAACUUUACGGAUGUGGCAACAGAGUUCUCAGAAGAUAUAUUCCCGUCUUUUGUCGACUGCUAAACCAGCAGGAACAGAUGGUCCUCUUGGCAUCAUGACAUCAUCUGACAGUAAGGGACUUGUGAACAACAUGAAAAACUUUCAGCCAUCUUUUGAUUACACGGAAAUAUGCCUUUGAUGCAUCCGUGUUAUUAUUUACUGACCGACUGUGUUUAGCAACUUCAGUGUGUAUAUCAAAAUUACUACUCCCUCCAUCCGAAAAAGCGUGUCCCUCAAAUGAAUGUAUGUAGCAUCAAGUUAGUGCUAGAUACAUCCAUUUGAGGAACAAGCUUGGGACAAACUUUUUCGGACGGAGGGAGUAUAUGAUGUAAUUGACCACUAUCACUAAGAAGUGCUCCUCGACACAAUGCUCUAUAUUAUCAUGUCUUUAGUGCAUUUUAUUGUGCCACCUGCGUAUAUAGCUACUUGAAUCUUCUAAUUGCAAACUCAAACAUUUGCAUUUUGUU